rnacentral:rRNA from 1 species
GAUGAACGCUGGCGGCGUGCCUAACACAUGCAAGUCGAGCGUGAACCCUGCGAAUGAAACUUCGGUCGAUUUUGCAGGGGGAAAGCGGCGGACGGGUGAGUAACGCGUAGGUAACCUGCCCCAUACUGAGGGAUAGCCUCGGGAAACCGGGAUUAAUACCUCAUAACACCGUAUAUUCGCAUGGAUGUGCGGUCAAAGAUUUAUCGGUAUGGGAUGGGCCUGCGUCUGAUUAGCUGGUUGGUGGGGUAACGGCCUACCAAGGCGACGAUCAGUAGCCGACCUGAGAGGGUGAUCGGCCACAUUGGAACUGAGACACGGUCCAAACUCCUACGGGAGGCAGCAGUGGGGAAUAUUGCACAAUGGGCGAAAGCCUGAUGCAGCAACGCCGCGUGAGCGAAGAAGGCCUUCGGUUGUAAGACCUGUCUUAUGGAGAAGUCAGUGACGGUACCAUAGGAGGAAGGCCACGGCUAACUACGUGCCAGCAGCCGCGGUAAG